UAAUAAAGCGAUUGUCGGCCUUAUACACAUGCAAGUCGAACGGUGAAGCCCAGCUUGCUGGGUGGAUCAGUGGCGAACGGGUGAGUAACACGUGAGCAAUCUGCCCCUGACUCUGGGAUAAGCGCUGGAAACGGCGUCUAAUACCGGAUACGAUCUGCGGCCGCAUGGUCGGCAGUUGGAAAGAUUUUUCGGUCAGGGAUGAGCUCGCGCCCUAUCAGCUUGUUGUUGAGGUAUGGCUCAUCACAGCGUCUACG
rnacentral:rRNA from 1 species